rfam:Ictidomys tridecemlineatus contig015675, whole genome shotgun sequence.
GGGUUUGUGGCUCAGUGGCAGAGCACUUGCCUGGCAUGCAUGAGGCACUGGGUUUAAUUUUCAGCACCG